UGGACAGAUUAUUGUAUUCGACUGUAUUCAUGGCGUGAAAUAGAGGAUUACACUAUUUUUAAACGGAAAGUGAAUCAAUUAACAUAAUAGACUCCU
rnacentral:pre_miRNA from 1 species